ensembl:lncRNA
UUUGAAAAUGCGUUACUGUUCAAUAAGUCGUAACAUUGUUCCUGUUUAACCAAGAAAAGAGUUCAUCUUUUCCUUAAUAGUCAAUCUUUGUCAUUCCAUGCACAGAGAUUUAUUUAAGUGAUCAUCUGUCUCUAUAUAGACGAUCUUUGUUUUCUCCGCCGACUGUUUUACUGAAGUAAGUUAAGAGAGCAGAAAACCUAUGAUUCAUCGAAAAAUUUGAAUAUUGAAGCAUGAGCCAUUCAAAAUCGCGAGUUUCGAGGAGGAGGAUCAAACCUUUGAACAUUUAAUAUUCUGGUUGUUUUUUUUGGAUAGCUCCAUGACUGGAACCAGAAGUACUGUCCGGUCUGCCACCACAUCUUCAUCCAUCCACCACCAAGAGGACCCUCACAUCGGACGUCACAGUGCGCCUGGAGUCCCUUUGACUUGACUUUGGUUGUGCACAGAAGGGUGAUCUCACAAAGCGGUCGGAGAGGAAAAGUAGGGCGCUCCCUUUGCAACCCAAGACUACGUCUCUUCAUAAGGCACUGAAUUAUUUUGUUUUAAAAACAAAC